CUGGAGAGGCUGUAGGGAAGUAAUCGGGAUCAGAUGAGGUCUCAGGAAUGGGGUCUCCUAGGACGACCUCAGGGGAAAAGCUUACCGUAGCUCCCUUCCCAUGUUAGUGUGUAGCACAAGGCCCCUGGCAGGCGCCAGAGCCAUGCCUCCAACAGCUGUGGGCUGAACACAUUACCAUUACUAUUUCGUUCUUUGUCACUCACUUAGUCUCGGGAUUUUUGUUAUGAAAAAAGAAAAAUGGACUAAGGUACACGUUCACCAAUUGAAAGGAAUAAAAUGAAGCCAAAUCCCAGCCAAAUCCUUCACUGCACCAGGACAGCUCUGGAUUGUGCAACCCAGUUUCCUCCUGGUGGUCUGGGUGCAUUCUUCCCACUGUCUCCCAGCAGCAAGCGCAUCCGACGUGCUCGAGGGUAGAUUAUGACUUCUCUUCAACUGGCUCCUAGGGCCAAAGGUAGGGUUAGAAAGAGACCGCUUUGCAGACAUUGGUGCCCUCUACUGGUCACGCCAAGAUAUGCAGCUUCAAGGGAGACUGGCGCAGGCAAAUCAAAAUCAACUCAUAACACAGUUCGAGACCUUAGACAUCCCGCAUAGGUGCGUGGAAAAUCGUGUGACGGAAUGCAGAUCUGGACCGAGGCAGCCAGCUUCCACAUCUAUGAAAAGCCACCAAUCCCUUCACCGCCCUGGAGGCAGCCCACAGGGGCCUUCACCCCAUCACCCAUCUGCGUCUUCCCGGUGCCGGUACAGACCUGAGACGGUGAGCGCUUCGCUAAGGAUCUGGUAAACUUACGAAGACAACUUUCUGCUUCCUGGUCAUCCACUGGUCACUUCAAAACAUUGCUUCAGAGUCCUGCAGAGCUUCAAACUGUGGGCGAAUUUCAUUCUCUGAGGGCUACAGUUCCCAUCCAUUACCCCUGCAUGCAUCGUCUGUGAUGAACACUCAGUUCUUGGGAAACCAUCAUAUUCAUGGUUGGUGGAUACAGAUUCUCCAAAAUUCUAAUGUUCACCUGAGAGAGCAAAUGUUUUAAGCACUGGCCACCAAUGCUGUCCUUUUCCUCUGGAGGAGACAUACUCCCUUUAUUGUCUCUAAAGAAAAUGUCUACUGCAUACUCGAGUCUGAAUAGUGUCAGCUGCGUUCUCGGUGAGAUGGCCGGCCACACAGGAAGGAGCUGCCUUAACACAGAAGCUGCUCUCACACUUUUUUUCCCCUCGGCAUAACCGUCCUGGAAACACAAUAAAAUACUUAAUGUGUGCAUCCAGUUUUUGUUAUAGAGGGUCUUAAAAGGUUGUACACUAAAGAUGUAAGAUCAAAUACACUUUCAGAGCUCAUGAAGA
rnacentral:sRNA from 1 species